ACAAAAACAAGAAGCAAUUCACCUUAUACCACAUCAACAACAUGAAAAGGCUAGUAGAAUACACAUAAGAUUAAACUAUUACAAAAUAUGAAUGAAAUGGAAGAACAUGGAAGUAAGAUUCAAUAAAACAACUUGUAUUUAUCAUGUAUCCACAUUCGAAUUGCAUGUUUACACUUCAUAUGCUAUCCAUAGUUAAGAAAUACCUGGAAGUCAAGAGAAAAACAAAGAGAGUGAUGGAUUUAGCAACAACAAUAGAUCAGCAACUUCAACACCAAUUUUCAGUCCGUUUUUAGAUCAUUUUAACCCAGAUGAGCCAAUCCAAAGAUAGUUUUCAAAGAUGCAGGAAAUUUUCUAAGUAUUUUCAGAGUCCAAAGUUGCCUCUGAAAUGAAUCAAAGAAGUUUUUAUAUAAGCAGCCUAAGGCAGCCGUAGCCUGAAUAAUUAUUUCCUCUUCUACCCUCCCAAUUCAUGGUCAUUUUACCCCUUUUAACCCUUCAAAAUAUCUGCAAAUUCCCUCAUCUUAACCAACCAGCCCAACCUUAUCCUCUAGAAGCUUUUAUGCUAACAGAAAAAUAUUCCCUGAGUUUCGAAAUACCCAAAUUAACCCUUUACCCCUUGCAAUUUACAUUCAGAAGAUCACACGGGUCAAAUUUGACCCAAGACCCAAACCAAAAAUGAACGGGCUUAUUGAAACGAGUCAAAGAUGACCAAAAGCCCACAGCUAAAACUUAAAUCAACCAAACGGAGCAUUGAAGCUCAAGCUCUGACCCAGGUUGAACUAAGGGUAAAUUGAAUGAAAAGAACAAAGAAGAAAAUAGCUGGAAUAAAGGAAAAAGAAAUCCUAUUCAACAAACACUUUAAUAAGCUAAGUAUUAGUUCAAAAUUAAUGACUAACCCUAAACAGUAUAAGCCAAAACAAAAGAUCAAACAGAAAAAUCAUAAUAAAAUACUAAUCAUAAUCAUGCAUUCAAAUAGUUAGAAUUACUGAUUUUAAGCAAAUUAAAACUAAUUCAAACCAACAACAAACAAGAAUCAGAAAAACGGACACGAGAAAAAGGAAAAGAAGAAGGAAUGGUACUGGUUUUGGCCGAAAUAAAUCGACGAAAGCGAUGAACUUGGCCGGGCGUCAAUGGUCUGGUAAGAAGCUGGUAACUCUCAAAAUGAGCAAAAACUAUCGUUAAUCAAUUAUUCUGAAAGAGAACAAUCAUUUAACGUAAGCUU
rnacentral:lncRNA from 1 species